GUCCACGCCGUAAACGAUGGGCACUAGGCGUCGGGGGGAGCGACCCUCCCGGUGCCGUCGCUAACGCUGUAAGUGCCCCGCCUGGGGAGUACGGCCGCAAGGCUGAAACUCAAAGGAAUUGACGGGGGCCCGCACAAGCGGUGGAGCAUGUGGUUUAAUUCGAAGCAACGCGAAGAACCUUACCUGGGCUUGACAUGCAUGAGUAAGCCGGUGGAAACACCGGGCCUCCUUCGGGACUCAUGCACAGGUGCUGCAUGGCUGUCGU
rnacentral:rRNA from 1 species